rnacentral:tRNA from 1 species
AGGGUUGUAGUUAAUUAUAACAUUUGAAUUGCAAUCAAAAAGUACUGGUUUCAGUCAACCUUA